rnacentral:rRNA from 1 species
GAUGAACGCUGGCGGCGUGCCUAAUACAUGCAAGUCGAGCGAACAGACGAGGAGCUUGCUCCUCUGACGUUAGCGGCGGACAGGUGAGUAACACGUGGAUAACCUACCUAUAAGACUGGGAUAACUUCGGGAAACCGGAGCUAAUACCGGAUAAUAUAUUGAACCGCAUGGUUCAAUAGUGAAAGACGGUUUUGCUGUCACUUAUAGAUGGAUCCGCGCCGCAUUAGCUAGUUGGUAAGGUAACGGCUUACCAAGGCAACGAUGCGUACCCGUCCGGAUAGGUGGAUCGGCACAACGGGAACUGAGACCCGGUCCAGACUCCUACGGGAGGCAGCAGUAGGGAAUCUUCCGCAAUGGGCGAAAGCCUGACGGAGCAACGCCGCGUGAGUGAUGAAGGUCUUCGGAUCGUAAAACUCUGUUAUUAGGGAAGAACGAAUGUGUAAGUAAAUAUGCACGUCUUGACGGUACCUAAACAGAAAGCCACGGCUAACUACGUG